AUGCCAGCUGAGGCACAUGCCUUGGGAGCUAAGUGGUUGCUGCCCUUGACCACUAUGAAGACUGGUGUGGGAAGGGUCGCUUUGGAUGCACUUGAGCAGGGGUCCCCAACCCCUGAGCCAUGGAGCCGUAAGGAGCCACACAGCAGGAGGUGGGACUAUCCAGUUGCAGGAAAACAAGCUUAACACGCCCACUGAUUCUACAUUAUGCUCCUACCUCCCAGCAGCCUCUCCAGGCCCAGAACUUUCUCCAGUCAGCCUCUACAGACCAAGCUCAUGACUCACAAUGGCCUAUUUAGGCCCAUACCCUACCUCACGGCAGUCUCCGCAGAUGAGCCUGCUGCCUCACAACAGCCUCCACAGGCACAGCUCCAUCGUUACAAUGGCCUCUUUAGACCCAGCUCCUGCCUCCCAGCCUUCUCUCCAGGCCCUGAACUUUCUCAAGUCGACCUCACCAGGCCCAGCUCAUGCUUCUUGGCAGCCUCUCCAGGCCCAGCUCCUGCAUCUUGGGGGCCCCUCCAGGCCCAGCCUCUGCCUCCCGUCGGCCUCUACAGUCCCAACAUCUGCCUCACAGCAGAUUCUUCAGGCCCAGCAUCUGCCUCACUGUGGACCCCCCAAGCCAAGCUCCCAACCUUUCAGCAGCUUAUACACACCCAGCUCCUGCCACCCAGUGGCCUCUUUGGGCCAAGCUCAUGCUUCACAAGGGCCUUUCCAGGCCCAACUUUCAUCUCAUGGCAACCUUCCCUGGCCAGAUUCCUGCGUGUCUCCCAGCAGCCUAGACAGGCCCAGGUCUUGCCUCACACUGGCCUCUCUACAUCCAGCUCAUGCCUCACGGUGGCCUCUCCAGGCCCAGCUCCUGUCCCAGGACAUCAUCUCCGGGCCCAAAACUUACUCAAGUCAGACUCUCUAGUCCCAACUGUUGCCUUCUGGUGGCCUAUGAAGGCCCAAAAUCUCCUCAAGUUGACCUCUCCAGGCCCAGCUCCUGCCUCCUGUCAGCGUCUACAGGCCCAACCUCUGCCUCAUGGGGGCUUCUCCAGGCCCACCUCUUCCUCUUGGCUGGGUCUACAGGCACAACUGCUGCCUCACAACAGCCUUUUUUGGCCCAGUUCCUGUCCAGCUCAUGGCGGCCAAUGUAGGCCCAAAACUUCCUCAAGUCAAACUCUCCAGGCCCACCUUCUGCUUCCCGGUGGCAUGAACAGGCCCAGCUUUGACUUGAGAACAGCCUCUGCAGGCCCUGCUCUUGCCUCCCAGGGGCUUUUUCCAGACCCAGCUCUUGCCUCAUGGCAGCUGCCCGAGGCCAAAUUUCUGCCUGCCUGCCAGCAGCCUCAACAGGCACAGCUCCUCCCUCACAGUGGCCCAUUUAGGCCCAACUCAUGACUGUCGGGCCAUUUCCAGGCCUAGUGCCUGCCUCGUGGCUGACUCUUGAAGCCCAAAACUUCCUCAAAUCAGCCUUUUGCCCAACUUCUGUCUACUGUCGGACUCUACAGGCCAGACUCUGCCUCACAGUGGACCCUCCAGACCCACAUGGUGUCUCACUGUGGCAUCCUCAGGCGA